AUGCAUGUAUGUAUAUAUAUAUAUAUAUAUUUCACGGUGGGUGAAAAGUAAGAAGGCAUCAAAAAUUGGUAAUAAAACCCAUAUUCCUUCUACAAAUUUAUUGAAACAAAUGAUACAUGUUCUUUAUUACAUGGGAAAAUGGAAGUAAAUCUUCAUUUUUCAACUUAAGCUCUGGUGGCAUCAACCAGUUUCUUCAAAC